rnacentral:rRNA from 1 species
GAUGAACGCUGGCGGCGUGCCUAAUACAUGCAAGUCGAGCGAACGGACGAGAAGCUUGCUUCUCUGAUGUUAGCGGCGGACGGGUGAGUAACACGUGGAUAACCUACCUAUAAGACUGGGAUAACUUCGGGAAACCGGAGCUAAUACCGGAUAAUAUUUUGAACCGCAUGGUUCAAAAGUGAAAGACGGUCUUGCUGUCACUUAUAGAUGGAUCCGCGCUGCAUUAGCUAGUUGGUAAGGUAACGGCUUACCAAGGCAACGAUGCAUAGCCGACCUGAGAGGGUGAUCGGCCACACUGGAACUGAGACACGGUCCAGACUCCUACGGGAGGCAGCAGUAGGGAAUCUUCCGCAAUGGGCGAAAGCCUGACGGAGCAACGCCGCGUGAGUGAUGAAGGUCUUCGGAUCGUAAAACUCUGUUAUUAGGGAAGAACAUAUGUGUAAGUAACUGUGCACAUCUUGACGGUACCUAAUCAGAAAGCCACGGCUAACUACGUGCCAGCAGCCGCGGUAAUACGUAGGUGGCAAGCGUUAUCCGGAAUUAUUGGGCGUAAAGCGCGCGUAGGCGGUUUUUUAAGUCUGAUGUGAAAGCCCACGGCUCAACCGUGGAGGGUCAUUGGAAACUGGAAAACUUGAGUGCAGAAGAGGAAAGUGGAAUUCCAUGUGUAGCGGUGAAAUGCGCAGAGAUAUGGAGGAACACCAGUGGCGAAGGCGACUUUCUGGUCUGUAACUGACGCUGAUGUGCGAAAGCGUGGGGAUCAAACAGGAUUAGAUACCCUGGUAGUCCACGCCGUAAACGAUGAGUGCUAAGUGUUAGGGGGUUUCCGCCCCUUAGUGCUGCAGCUAACGCAUUAAGCACUCCGCCUGGGGAGUACGACCGCAAGGUUGAAACUCAAAGGAAUUGACGGGGACCCGCACAAGCGGUGGAGCAUGUGGUUUAAUUCGAAGCAACGCGAAGAACCUUACCAAAUCUUGACAUCCUUUGACAACUCUAGAGAUAGAGCUUUCCCCUUCGGGGGACAAAGUGACAGGUGGUGCAUGGUUGUCGUCAGCUCGUGUCGUGAGAUGUUGGGUUAAGUCCCGCAACGAGCGCAACCCUUAAGCUUAGUCGCCAUCAUUAAGUUGGGCACUCUAAGUUGACUGCCGGUGACAAACCGGAGGAAGGUGGGGAUGACGUCAAAUCAUCAUGCCCCUUAUGAUUUGGGCUACACACGUGCUACAAUGGACAAUACAAAGGGCAGCGAAACCGUGAGGUCAAGCAAAUCCCAUAAAGUUGUUCUCAGUUCGGAUUGUAGCCUGCAACUCGACUACAUGAAGCUGGAAUCGCUAGUAAUCGUAGAUCAGCAUGCUACGGUGAAUACGUUCCCGGGUCU